rnacentral:rRNA from 1 species
ACUCAAAUGAAUUGACGGGGACCCGCACAAGCGGUGGAGCAUGUGGUUUAAUUCGACGAUAAGCGAGGAACCUUACCAAGGCUUGACAUGUAGCUGCAUCUCUCAGAAAUGAGAGCGCCUUCGAGGGUGCUACACAGGUGCUGCACGGUUGUCGUCAGCUCGUGCCGUGAGGUGUUCACUUAAGUGUGAUAACGAGCGCAACCCCUAUCAUCAGUUACAAGUGUCUGAUGAAACUGCCGGCGUUUAAGCCGGAGGAAGGUGGGGAUGACGUCAAAUCAGCGUGGCUCUUACGCCUUGGGCGACACACGUGCUACAAUGGGAUAUUACAAAAGGACGCCAAGGAGUAAUCCGGAGCAAAUCCUCUAAACUAUCCCCCAGUUCGGAUUGAGGGCUGCAACUCGCCCUCAUGAAGCCGGAAUCGCUAGUAACCGUAGAUCAGCCUCGCUACGGUGAAUACGUUCUCGGGUUUUGUACACACCGCCCGU